UACAGAGGUCUCAAGCGUUGUUCGGAAUCACUGGGCGUAAAGCGUGCGUAGGCUGUUUCGUAAGUCGUGUGUGAAAGGCGCGGGCUCAACCCGCGGACGGCACAUGAUACUGCGAGACUAGAGUAAUGGAGGGGGAACCGGAAUUCUCGGUGUAGCAGUGAAAUGCGUAGAUAUCGAGAGGAACACUCGUGGCGAAGGCGGGUUCCUGGACAUUAACUGACGCUGAGGCACGAAAGCCAGGGGAGCGAAAGGG
rnacentral:rRNA from 1 species